CUUGUCUGUCAAAAAUCAAUUCACAUUGUAAAAGGAAGCAGCCUGUGAAGCAGAGGCUGAAGAAAAAAGCUUCAGCAGUUGGAAGCAGGAGGAAUGGGUGGUCGGUUGAAAGAAGAGCCACAACAAUGCAUCCAAAGAUGAAGCAGUUGUUAUAGUUAAGAAACUCCUCGCCGUUGAGUACUAGCCUGUUCUGCUUCUCAGCAAGGAGACUAAGAACAAAGAACACAAAUGUGAAAUAUUGACCCCUCGGUGCACACUUUCCACUUAUGCCCAAGACUACCUUCAGAAGAUUGGCUCAUUUUCUCAACACUUUUGUGAAGGAGCAGGUGGAGGAGG